rnacentral:rRNA from 1 species
UGCCAGACUCCUACGGGAGGCAGCAGUGGGGGAUAUUGCACAAUGGGGGGAACCCUGAUGCAGCGACGCCGCGUGGGUGAAGAAGUCAUUCGUGACGUAAAGCCCUAUCAGCAGGGAAGAAAAUGACGGUACCUGACUAAGAAGCCCCGGCUAACUACGUGCCAGCAGCCGCGGUAAUACGUAGGGGGCAAGCGUUAUCCGGAUUUACUGGGUGUAAAGGGGGCGCAGACGGCAGCGCAAGCCAGGAGUGAAAGCCCGGGGCCCAACCCCGGGACUGCUCUUGGAACUGCGCGGCUGGAGUGCAGGAGGGGCAGGCGGAAUUCCUGGUGUAGCGGUGAAAUGCGUAGAUAUCAGGAGGAACACCGGUGGCGAAGGCGGCCUGCUGGACUGCGACUGACGUUGAGGCCCGAAAGCGUGGGGAGCAAACAGGAUUAGAUACCCCUGUA